GUUAAUGUCUACAUUGCCUGUCCAGUUCCUCCUCGUGUUGAGACCUCUGUUACCUGCAUAGAUAUUUUUGUUGAUUGAAUUUGACUUAUUUAAAUGCAGAGUAGAGCAGCGCAGAGCACACGGUGGAGAGAAGCAGAGGAGCAGAGGGAGGAAAGUGAAGCGGGGCUGCGCUGGGAGAAGAGAGGAGCUUUGGGAGAAUGGAGGCACUCAGAGAGUGGAGAGAGGAGCCUUGUGGGUAAGACAGUGAUGACAUGAGUAAGAGAGACUGAAGAGGAGGCAUUCGUACGGGCUGGUCUGAUUAGCCCUGUGAGCCGUGAUUCAACACAGCGUUAGCGACUGCUCGGUGAUGUGCUCAGGCUCAGUAUAUCCAAGCAAAAGAGAGGAGGAGGCAAGAGAAGGAGAGAUGAGUCUGGGGGAUUGGAGCAGAGCUACCCUGGCCUUCCUCCAGCCUCAACCCCGGCACAAUCUGGGUAGUAGCUGUAUGUUUAUUCCUGUGAACACACCACUCCUACAGGAUGAGAGGUGACUGAAUCUCGGCGCUGGAUGCUGCUCGGGUUCCAUGAUUGCUGGGAUUUGACUUCACUCCCAGUUCUUCAAAGGCUUCACUGCGUAUUUUUUUCCCCCCCACUUUCCUGUUGGAUCCAGGGGCAGACAUAUCCCUUUCAUCAGGAGGUGCUUUUCUCUGACAGCACAGAUUAGCGAGAGGGAAAUGCAUUUAGAAACGCCAGGCUCAUUUUCCCUGCUCACACACUGA